rnacentral:rRNA from 1 species
UGGGGAAUUUUGGACAAUGGGCGCAAGCCUGAUCCAGCCAUGCCGCGUGCGGGAAGACGGCCUUCGGGUUGUAAACCGCUUUUGUCAGGGAAGAAAUCUUCUGAGUUAAUACCUCGGGAGGAUGACGGUACCUGAAGAAUAAGCACCGGCUAACUACGUGCCAGCAGCCGCGGUAAUACGUAGGGUGCAAGCGUUAAUCGGAAUUACUGGGCGUAAAGCGUGCGCAGGCGGUUUUGUAAGACAGAGGCGAAAUCCCCGGGCUCAACCUGGGAACUGCCUUUGUGACUGCAAGGCUUGAGUGCGGCAGAGGGGGGAUGGAAUUCCGCGUGUAGCAGUGAAAUGCGUGGAUAUGCGGAGGAACACCGAUGGCGAAGGCAAUCCCCUGGGCCUGCACUGACGCUCAUGCACGAAAAGCGUGGGGGAGCAAAACAGGAUUAGAUACCCUGGUAGUCCACGCCCUAAACGAUGUCAACUGGUUGUUGGGAAGGUUCCUUCUCAGUAACGUAGCUAACGCGUGAAGUUGACCGCCUGGGGAGUACGGCCGCAAGGUUGAAACUUAAAUGAAUUGACGGGGUCAUAGCUGUUU